AUGAACGCUAGCGGCAGGCUUAAUACAUGCAAGUCGAGGGGCAGCAGGACUGUAGCAAUCCCGUUGCUGGCGACCGGCAAACGGGUGCGGAACACGUACGCAACCUACCCAAAACUGGGGGAUAGCCCGGGGAAACCCGGAUUAAUACCUCGUAACCUUUUUAAGUGGCAUCACUUGAUAAGUAUAGCUCCGGCGGUUUUGGAUGGGCGUGCGCCUGAUUAGGUAGUUGGUGCGGGUAACGGCCCACCAAGCCUGCGAUCAGUAACUGGUGUGAGAGCACGACCAGUCACACGGGCACUGAGACACGGGCCCGACUCCUACGGGAGGCAGCAGUAAGGAAUAGUGGUCAAUGGACGCAAGUCUGAACCAGCCAUGCCGCGUGAAGGAGGAAGGUCCUCUGGAUUGUAAACUUCUUUUAUGGGGGACGAAACCCGGAUAUUCUUAUCCGAUUGACGGUACCUCAGGAAUAAGCACCGGCUAACUCCGUG
rnacentral:rRNA from 1 species